rnacentral:sRNA from 2 species
AGAGUUAGUCAGCUUAAUCCAGUGCAUUGCGUAGCACUGGAGCGGAGGAACCCAAUUGUGGGGCGUAUCUCCUAGAAAGUGGCAAGUUAAGAGUCAAAAUUGAGUAGUUAGGAAAUAUUUGACUCACCACUCUCAAGAGAGGGGCAUCUCUCAGCCCUAGCCCGUCAGCUAACUUCGUAAGCAUUGAGGGGAGACUGA